CCCCGAGCACCUGCGUUGGCCCGCAGGGGACCCGCAAGAGAAGGUCGAGGUCAGCGCCCGUGCACACGGCGGCACAGGGGCUCCUGGAGACAGGCGCAGUAAGGCGUCAGCGGAGACAGGGGCACACAGGCAACGCACAGGAGAGAGCGGGGCACACGAUGGGGACGGCGCGACACACUGCUGCCACAGGAUGACUGCAUGGACGGAUGAAGGCAAUUCUUAGCCUUAAAGGGCCCUGGACACAGGAGACUGGAAUCUAAGCUCCCACUCUGCUUCUUGGCCCUUCUGAAACUCCUCAUCUAUGAAACAAAGAGCACAUAUCACUCAACCUCACCUUCAGAAAAGACUCCAUGGACUUCGAGGCCAGAGAGUUGCUCCGGAACAGGGUGUUAGCCUCACCUACAAGCAGAGGUUCUAGUGGGUAGGGGGGUUGAGAGAGGGACCAGGCUUUGGGGAGGACAGAGGACCUUGGGAGCCCCCAGCCCACUGCCCCAACUCUGCCUUUUGCUCUUUCCUUUGCCCCCUAAUCAGAUCAGGCAGCUUCCUACAGGAAGACUUCCCAGGUUUCUCCCCUCUCAGCAUCUCUGGAGUCCUUGGCUCCUGGCUCCCCUCUCCACCACACCCUCAGACGGGCCACCCCCUCCCAGGCCUCACUGGUACGACCCAGCUCCAGCUGGAAGAGCAGGUCCAGAAAGUCUUUGGCCAGUCCCUGCCCCAGGAACAGUUUGAGCAGGUUGGUGGCCACAUCCUGGCGGCAUUCGGUGCUUGUUGUCUCCUCGAUAAGUGCUAUCAGCUGCCCUGGGCCCUGCAGGAGGCAGCAAGGAGAGGCAGGGUCAGAAGACGCACAGGGGAACCCAAACCCUUCACUCUGAGGGCCUGGGACCACCACGGGGAAGGGGGAGGGGUGCUUUCCCACAGAAUGGCGAGGGGCCCUGGGCAUUGGUUAAUUCCUUACCAUCCUGAGAACUGAGAGUUUUGCUCUUCAGAGCAGGUUUAGAAGGACAGGGAGAACAGGCCUGCUGUCCCUGGACCCUCCCACCUUCCCCCGGGGCCCCCUCACCUGGGUGCCCAGCUUCACCUCACGGCACAGCAGCUGCACCAGGGGCUGGUAGCAGCCGGAGGGCAGUACCGUCUCGUCCCGCAGCCGCACCUCCAGCUGCAAGGAGCCCAGGUUGCCCCUGGAACGGGCAGCCUGUGACCUCUCCACCAGGGACCCAGGCCACCUGGGCCGUGCCCCCUCCCGCACUGCCUCCAUACUCCCCCGUGGGGCCUGCCCUCCACCUUGGUUCCCUGCACUGCACCCCUCCCACUUUUUCCCCAAGGUGCUCUCUGCUUGGAAAGCCCUUCCCGCCUCCAAACUCAGGGGAACACCACCCAUUUUCACCGCCUGGCUCCCUGUCACUUCUAGACGCCUUGAACUCUGCGCUUGACCCAUAUGGACAUGCGGGGCUCCCAGCUUUGAAUCUGUAAACUCUCAGAGAUCCGCUCCUCCACAUACACAAUCCCCAACUGUCAUAACAACCUGCCAGGGGAAACUGAGGCUCGAGGGGAUUAAGCAACUCGCCAUAAUGGAUCUAACUACCAAGCUCCUCUGCUCAGACCCCUUCUGGGGAGGGUGCUGACCAAGGCUUAACCUCUCUAAGGCCCCCACGUCCAGAAGCACAGGACAGUUCACUAAGUGAUGCACUAGCACGUGGCCUCAUACACAGUAGAAGCCGCCAAAACGGCUCGUCCUAUGGAAAUGCCUGCUGCGGGACUCAGCCCCUGCCCUGCCCCUGCCCCGCUGAUGGUGGGGAUGGGGGGUCUGGGGUCCUCUGCAGAGAGACAGAGUGAACCAUCCAAAGUGGGGGACACUGCUGAUCCCCUACUUCCGGCCUGAGUGGUGAGCGAGGAGGCCAGAGGGCUUCCUUGAGGGGGUUGCCAGAUUUACCAAAAUAAAAAUACAAGAAACCCA